GCAUGGCCGAAUUCUGUUCCAGCUUGUCAGUGGUGGAUACAGUCAGACACCAUGCAAAAGUGUUGUCUCACUUCUGUUUUAAUGACUGGAUGAGUGCUUCACUCGGCCUCAUGCAUCUGUACAGAGAUGAGUACAAUA
ensembl:snoRNA